UAUAGCUUGGGCUAGAAGCUACAGGGAACAUAAAUAGAAAUCUAUUUAUUAGUUCCUUUGUUCCUAGACCUUGCAACCCAAAACAUAAAGUAUACUUAAGGGUACAAUAAUAUGCACCGCUCCUUAUUUACAAUAUUUCUGCGUAAUAGCAGUCUCCAGGUCACGGAUGUACGUAAAUAAAGAUGUAGAAUUUUUCUUGAAGCAGUUACUUCGACAAAAAUGGACAAUCGCGUAGCCAAGAAAUAAAAUGAAACGAUAGUGUUGAAAAUUGAAACAGAUCAUCUUUCGACAAAUUUCGUCAGCGUUCCAGAGAAAAUGGUGAAAUCAAACAUUGCAACAAUUAGUUGUAAUAACUAUGAUGAUAGCAUAAGAAAUCCAUGUAAUUAAUAAUAACGAUAUAUAUUAAUCGCAGAUUGAACAACUAAAUUUUUCCCAGCAAUUAAAAAUGUACAAGCAUAGAAAAAAGAAAUUUAUUACGCCACAUUGUUAAGAAAUAAAUGGUACGAUACAUCUAACGAUGACAAGUUACGGAUCGUGUUCUUCCUGGUGAAUGCAAAUUUAUUCAAUGAGAAGCAGCCAACCGUGUUUAAGUGUUCGUUUUAUGCGCACUGUUUGACAAUAACAAUCUAUUUUACAGCCUUCUCGUUAUCGAUACAUAGACGACACAUCUUUUCUACGAGAAAAAGCUUCCGCUUUCCUAACUGCUAUUACGAAUCAACAUUUUUGAAUGCUUAUGACUGGUCCUCGAUUUUUACCCAACAAUUCGUACCGGUUCCCGAGACAUUCGAUCUGAAACAUUUUUCAAAGGUUUUGUGGCAAUCAGAUCUGCCUGUUUCGAAAAUACUGUUUUGAGAGAAACGAAUUUAAACUACAGUUUUCGAAAUCGUUGAACAAUCGGAAAAUUGUUCGCGUGAAAGUAAAUCGAAAAUAUAUAUUUCCCCGUAUAUAUCAUCGAGAGUUAACAUUUUUCGCACAGAGCUCCGUUCUCGAGAAAAUUAAGUUUGAAUAUUCGUCUAGUAUUUCUCUAUAUGCAUUCCACAUACAACGCUCUAUUUCCUUUCUCCUACAUUCCCAAUAUUUCAUAUCCUCCAUAUAUCUUGACACAUAUAAACCAAAUAAACACAAAAGAAUAUGUUUCUAAAUAAAGAAGAUUUAUGGCAUAAAAUGCAGACCACAAAUUGGACACAGGAAAUCGUCAUUUCGCAGGAACAAAGUUUACUAUCUCGUAAGAUGAAAUUUGUCUUCGCCCAUAGAGUCAUUUCGUUGGCCACAUUUCAGCGGGUGUUGUCAGUUAGGUAGUCGAAGCGACUGGGAAAUCAUCGCUUUGGCAAUUCUAAUUUAGCAAGUUGGAAUAACUAUCGGACUAGUUUGUACAACUAGCGUGGAAAACUAUGUGUGGAACACGGGAUAAAGGAGACAAGGAAACGAUAUAACGAAUGAUUUUUAAUAAACAUAUUAUUUAUUUAAUUUUUAUAUAAUAUAUAAUCAUCGAUACUUUUAGUUUGCAUUUUUAAUCCAAUCAUAUCGAUGUAACGUUACGCAGUGGAGAAGGAUGCAUCUAUAGAACGUAUUUUCAUAGAACAAAUAUCUGAAUCUAAGAUAUAUAAGGCACAAUUGUUGUAUCUUACUAUUCUCGAAUAAAAAUAAUUGACUUAUUUCAUCGCCGUAGUUUAACACGUCCGUAUCAUUUUUCUUUUUUUUUUUUUUUUUUUUUU